AUGAUCCAUAUGUAUGGGAAGAUGGGCAGGCUUGACUUGGCACUUGGUCUGUAUGAUGAGAUGAGAGCCAUAGGCCGCACUCUAGAUGUUGUGACUUACACUGUCUUGAUUGAUUCUCUGGGAAAGGUGUAUAUGAUUUCUGAUGCAGGGAAGGUGCUGGAGGAGAUGGUGGGUGCAAGAUUAAAGCCAACACUGGUAACCUUCAGUGCUUUGAUAUGUGCAUAUGCCAAAGGUGGGAGGCGGGACGAGCGGCGGAGCAGACAUUUGAUCGUAUGGUUGCGUCAGGUGUCAAACCUGAUCGCUUAG
rnacentral:rRNA from 1 species